rnacentral:lncRNA from 1 species
AGAAACCAGGCUUUAAAGGCUAGGAAAAAUGACAAACCAAUUUCUUUGAAAGAUUAGAGGAUCUUACCUCUUUCUCUGGCAGUGUUUGGGCCGAAAUCUGAUGAACCAAGGAGAGAAAGAUGUGUCUUUCUUCCGGUGAAGAAUAGUGGCCGACGGUGGGGUUUUCUCAUAAGAGCCUUCGUCCUUUUAAAUAGACAUGGA